UUGUGAACUUCACAUCCUUAGAGGAAAUGUCAGGAAAAUUGAAGUCCUCAUGGUUUGGCUGAACAUUCUUCCUGGAACUUUUUGAAACAAGAACUCAAGGUGCAACAGUUAAAUUGGAUAACUUUUUCACAGUUUCAACUCUGAUACAAGAAUCUAAGGGGCAUAAGUAAAAAAUAAUGAGUGAGAGAUGGUACCAAAGACAAUACAUC